CCUACGGGAGGCAGCAGUCAAGAACCUUCCACAAUGGACGAAAGUCUGAUGGAGCGACGCCGCGUGAUUGAUGAAGUCCUUCGGGAUGUAAAGAUCUUUUGUAGACCAGAAAGUUUAUUGAUCGGUCUAAGCAUAAGGAGUUGCUAAACUCGUGCCAGCAGCAGCGGUAAUACGAGUGCUCCAAGCGUUAUCCGGAAUAAUUGGGCGUAAAGGGCGUGUAGGUGGUAUUGUUAGUCUUCUGUUAAAUUCUUCGGCUUAACCGGGGGCAUGCAGGGGAAACGGCACAACUAUAGGAUGCGAGAGGAACAUGGAACUCAUGGUGUAGUGGUGAAAUCCGUUGAUAUCGUGGCGAACACCAAAGGCGAAGGCAGCACACUGGCCCUAAUCUGACGCUCACACACGAAAGCCAGGGUAGCGAACGGGAUUAGAUACCCUGGUAGUC
rnacentral:rRNA from 1 species